CUAGCAAUGGUCAUCUUUAGAAAGUAUUUAUGUCAAUAAGAGGAAGAUUUAAGGACCCUGAAUGAAAACUUGGAACUAGUUGAUUAAUGCUCAUAUGUUGCUCUUUGCACGACAUGCCGGGUUAGUAUAAGGAAGUAAUGUGAAAGAUUAAAUAUAAGGUUAGACAUAAGGUUGUAAGUAGUUCAAGUGGUGGUAGAAAUGUAGAUUAAUGAUUGAUCCUCAUGACAAGUACGGAUAAUGAGAUAUAAAAAUGAUAGUUAUGUUAGAAUGUUGAUACUUGGAUGUUUACGGUAAUGCGUACUAUUAUACGCUCACUUCACAUAGGGACAUGAAAGAACCUAGAAAGGAUUUUAGUUUCAAAUUAUGGAAUAUGGGAUGUGUCACAAACGUCAAUUCCUCACAACAUACUUAUGUAAGUCAUCCAAUGUAACCUGAAUGAAUGAACGAACGAAGAGUAAGACUAGACGGGUUAUAGAAGAAAUGAAAGAGGUUUCGAGGACGAAACCUUCUUUAAGAGGGGUAGAUUUGUAACACCCCAAAAACUCGAAUUAUUCAGUUACUAGUAUAUACCACGUUUAAAAUAAGGAAAUGAAAUAACUAGGUUAUUAAACCUAGUUAUAUGCUUGGUUAAAAAAAAUAAGGAUAGGAAAUUAAGUUAAUUAUGAACAAAUGACAAACUUGAGGGGUUGAUUUGGAAAAGAUGGAAAGAUGAAAUAUAAAAUAAAAAUAAAAACUCAAAAACACACACUGAGUGUGUUUGGGGGUGCGUACGAUCGCACAGGAGAAGAGGCAGAAAGGGGUACAAACCCUAAUUCAAGAUAAACCUUCAAAUUGAAAGGGGAAACUGGCUCUAAUCGGAUACAUGGACCUAGAUUCUUAAUCAUCUAGACUUUCUACACAUGAGCUCGACUCUUGACAAGCUAUAUGGGAUCUUGGAGAAGAAUGGGUUAAACGGGUCAAGUACGCAAAGAAGCUUUAAUGGACACAAAGUAAGUAAGCUUACAUCUUUUGUAGAAUAUGAAUUUGUUUUUAUGAACUAUAAAUAUGAUAAAAUCGAAAUGUGGUUUCCGACGCGAUAUGGUACAUGUCGGAAUAGAUAUAAUCGAUAAAAACCAUGAUUAAUAGUAAAAAGGGCAAAUUGGUAAUUUAGUCAUGAAUGACUAAGUUUUAAUGAGUUUUCGUUAAGGUUACCUUAUAGUGUAACUAAUAAAAGAAAUAGCGGGGUAAAAUCCGAAAUGAGUCGUAUGCGUGAAUUUGAAAUUAAAAUAUUUUGUAAACAUCAAUAUUUGGUCAGUUAGACCACACGGGCCAAAUGGUAGUAAUAAUACCAUUUGACAAAUUCGACUAAUGUUUGGUUGGCAAGUCACUUGUUCAUAGGAACGAAUAGCAAUUUGGAUAAUUGUGUCGCCAUAAAGUUUCGGCUAAUAAAGCGAGGUAUAAAAACGGGUCUAUGCGUUGACUCGAGCCAGGUACGCGACGAAACGUUUUGUUGUUGUUAAUUGUUAAUACGUAAAUCUUAUAUAUUGAUGAUAUAUGAAAGUUCGAGAUGUAAAAAUGUUUGAUUUGUCUAUAAUAAGGAUUUAUGAUAGACAAAUCAACGGGUUGAGCAAUAAUAGGUGCAAACCGGGUAAAUGGGUGCACAAUUCCAUAAGUGCUAAGCCCGGGGUUACGGGUAAAGAAACAUUAAACACACAAGCCGGUAGUCGAAGCGAGAAUGCGAGUAGAUUAAAGGAUUUGGGGACGGGUUGUCAAAUUGAGUAUUAAGUCCCAUGCAUAGGAAUGUGAUUGAAAUAGGAUUUAUUGCUUAUUAGCGAACUAACCUCGUGUAUGUGUUUAUACAGUUUAAAUCAGUUGAAGUAAUAAGUUACUAAACCAUUGUCUUGAGUAUGAAAUGAGAAUGCAGGUAUUCUUUUAACGUCGUUAUCAGGGUUAAAGAAUUUGGAAUGCACGAAUGUACACGGAAAGCUUAUUCGUGGGGAUUAGUAUGGGAAGAAGGAACGCGGACUGGCUAUUGAUUACGUAGGUCUAGUUUAGGAAUGAUGUCAUUGUAUCUAACCGAUGUAUAUGUAUAUGGUGAAUGCAGGUGGCGUGGACUUAGCAUCAUUACGAAGAAAAGAAGGUUUGAAGAUCGAGUCAAGAGCGAGGGUUGUACGGGAAGGAUCAGUCAUAUAAUUUGACAAAAAAAAAUAUAGGUCUUGAAGUAUUAAUAUAAUGGGAAGUGGUAAAUUCCUUUUUAAUGAGUGUAUGAAUUUUUGUCUUGGAACCUUCCUGUAAGUAUUAUGUCUAGUAAAGAACGAAAUUUUUGGGCUCUUA